rnacentral:rRNA from 1 species
AUCGAUAAUCCACGUUANUUUUCACUUCAAUUUCAAAAUUUAUAUACCGCCAUCUUAAGAUUUAAUUUAAAAAUAUUACCAAAAAAAUAAUAAAAAGUUAGGUCAAGGUGUAAUUUAUAUUAAAGAUUAAAUGAAUUACAUUAAAUACUAUUUAAGAAUUAUCCAUAAAUAUAUCAAUAUAAAUAAGGAUUUAAAAGUAAUAUUCAAAUAAUAUUUAAAUAUGAUUUAAAUAAUAAAUGUGCACACAUCGCCC